rnacentral:rRNA from 1 species
UACGUAGGGGGCUAGCGUUGUCCGGAUUUAUUGGGCGUAAAGCGCGCGUAGGCGGCCCGUUAAGUCGGAUGUGAAAACCCGGGGCUCAACCCCGGGCCUGCAUUCGAUACUGGCGGGCUCGAGGCAGGCAGGGGAGAGUGGAAUUCCUGGUGUAGCGGUGAAAUGCGCAGAUAUCAGGAGGAACACCGGUGGCGAAGGCGGCUCUCUGGGCCUGUCCUGACGCUCAGGCGCGAAAGCUAGGGGAGCAAACAGG